rnacentral:lncRNA from 1 species
GGAUGCGCAUGCACGUGCUGCACGCAGCAACCUAUCCAAGAAGAGAAAGAAAGGUCGCUUGCUUAAGUUCUCGUGCAGGUUUCGAGUCAUGACGGAUUGACCUGCUAAGUGGUAGCAAUUAAAAGACAUUAAAAAAAUUAGAAAAAUGAAGAAUAAACAAAUAAACGAGUUAGUGGGUUGGUGGGUUACACGGGUAUUUUAGCCAGUUGGCGGGUUACAUAGGUAUUUUAACGAAUUGGCAGGUUGACUCGAAAUCCACCAGUUUAUUAAACGGGUCAUAGCGGGUUGACCAGAAAAUUACCCAAAUUUUAAUCGUGCGGGUUGAACCGGCUAAAUUCUCAUCCGAGUUUCGAGUCGUGUAAUGGAUCGUGCCCGAAAUUGCCACCCCUAGCUACAAUCACUGGCGGAUUCAUGAUUUUUUUAGGGAAGGGGCAAUAUUUAAAAAGUAAGACAAAAAAAAAAGAUAAUCAAAUAACCUUAGGUCUAUAACUAAUUGACUAUAGUCUAUAUUGUAUAUCAAUUAAUAUGAACAAAAUUCAUUCCAAUUUAUACAAUAAUUAUCAAAUUUCAUAUUAAAUCAUCAAUUAAUCUAAUCAAAAUGAAAAUCAAAUUAUCAAUUAAAUAAACAAAUCAUAAUUGAUCAUAUCUUGUGAGUUGUGCGUUGCGCAACCUCUUCCUUCUCGAGUUUAUUACUGAUCAUACUAAUACAGAGAAAGCCAAAUAAAAAAAUUAUUAAAAAAAAUAUAUGAACAAAAAUACAUUCGAAGUUGAAGUCUGAAAGCAGCAAGAGCCUUCUCCCUUUUCAAGGCCACACCCACGCCAGGCUUCUUCAGGGUUUCUCUUUAAUGGGAAUUUAAAUCAAAUUAGUCUUCUUCAAGAGUUAUAGUUUGAACGCAUCACUUAAUUUCAACUUUGGCACGGCAUCUUUCAAGACUCCUUUGCAUACAAGGUAAAGCUGCUUUAGUUGUUUUUAAUUUUUUUAGACCUCAUCCAAAAUGACGUCGUUUUGGCUAAGAUCUAAAAAAAAUAAAAGGGGAUGCGCAUGCACGUGCUGCACGCAGCAACCCAUCCAAGAAGAGAAAGAAAGGUCGCUUGCUCAGUCAUUUGUUCAAACAAGCUGUGGGCACCUCCAAGCCAGAGCAAAUGGGCAAUAUCCAGCAACUCUCAAGUAUUUUUCGCACGAGAUAAGGUACAGCUGUACUUUUUUCCGCCUUUUUGGGCCCGCCAUUAACUACAACUAAAUAUCAAACUCAUCAUAAAUAUAUAUCGUCCUUUUACCCAUAAGAUUCAAACUUGAAACUUACUUCAAUCAAAUAAAGGCAAAUAGCUAGUUGCUAUAUAGUCAAUCUCGUUGGAAAAUAAAAAGUUUGGAAAUGUGGUAUCAUUAUUAAUUGAUAUAAUGAUCACAUAACCUACAGGGUCGAAUUGAC